rnacentral:rRNA from 1 species
GACGAACGCUGGCGGCGUGCUUAACACAUGCAAGUCGAACGGUGAAGCGCCUUCCUUUUUGGUGGGUGUGGUUGCGUGGCGAACGGGAGAGUAACACGUGAGUACCCUGCACCCUUCUUCUGGAUAACCGCAUGAAAGUGUGGCUAAUACGGGAUAUUCUGGGUCUGUCGCAUGAUGGGUCUGGGAAAGCUAUUGUUUCGGUGGGGGAUGGGCUGCCGUCGUUUCAGCUGGUCGGGGGGGUGAGCGCCUACCAAGGCGGUGACGGGUAGACGGCCUGGGAGGGUAGACGGUCUCACUGGGAGUGAGACACGGUCCAGACUGCGACGGGGGGCAGCAGUGUGGAAGAGGGCACAAUGGGGGCAAGUGUGAUGCAGCGACGCGGCGUGAGGGAUGGAGGCCUGCGGGUUGUGAACCUCUUUCGCUAGUGAAGCGGGCCUGCCUCGUUUGUGGGUGGGUUGACGGUAGCUGGAUAAGAAGCGCCGGCUAACUACGUG